rnacentral:tRNA from 1 species
UAUUCUAUAGUUUAUAUAAAACAUUAAAUUGCAAAUUUAAUAAAAUUGUUAAAAAUAAUAGUUAGAAUAU